UACGGGGGGAGCAAGCGUUGUUCGGAUUUACUGGGCGUAAAGGGCGCGUAGGCGGCACCGCAAGUCGACUGUGAAAUCUCCGGGCUUAACCCGGAAAGGUCAGCCGAUACUGCGGGGCUAGAGUGCAGAAGGGGCAACUGGAAUUCUCGGUGUAGCGGUGAAAUGCGUAGAUAUCGAGAGGAACACCUGCGGCGAAGGCGGGUUGCUGGGCUGACACUGACGCUGAUGCGCGAAAGCUAGGGGAGCGAACGGG
rnacentral:rRNA from 1 species